CUUACGUCUAAAAUUCCCACCAUUGGUGUCCAGUCAACCAGGUACACCAUGCCCUGUGAAUAGACUAUCCUAGUGAUCCCAGUCAAAAUUCCCAUUCCUGGAGCACUCAAGCAAAUAUGAUUAUAUCCCUUAAAAGACAUGCACUCAACUUGUGAAUAAGGUUCAUUCUUCCACAGGACCAUUUGCACUUUCAACGAUGAAUUUUAUAAAUCAAAUGAAUUUCAAAUGGAUAGGAUAUUUCCAGAGAUAUUUCUAAGUCCAGAAAAUUUUAGGUGAAGGAAUAUAGUACCAUUAUACCUCAUCCAUUUCUCCUUUUAUCCUGUCCUCAGCCACCUCUACCCCUCAUGAGACUCAGAAAAUAAAGGGGAUAUUGUUCAGGCAGAGCAAAUGAGUUGGAAAAGAAGAGUAUAUAUACUCUAUGCGGACUCCACAAUUUAAAAAGUGACUGUUGUUUCACUCUUCCGGAAGAGACAAUUGAUAGAAAAUUCCAUGCUGUCAACAAACAGAUGCUACAUGAAGUUAUUAUAUAUUCUGCUACAAGGGCGAGAGGCAGAAGACUUCUAAAGAAAAUUGUUUUUAAAAAAUAAAAGUAAUUCUUUCUCUGUAUUAGAAAUCAGCUGUGAUAUUUUCAUUUGGGGCUGAUGAAGUUUUCUGUCUAUCCACAUGAGCACAAGGGGCCUGGUGUUAUAAUUAUUCCAGGAUUAAGUCUACAUUUCCUUAUCUAUUGUAUUAAUCAAGGUUCUUCGUAAGGGAAAAGAAAUGACUGGUGGUAUUUUAAGCAGAAGUAAAGUUAAUUCAGGGAAUUGGGUGCUUACAAAGUCAUUGAAAGUGUUAUAGAAUCACAGGCUCUAAGAUGAGUUCCCCAAAAUAACCUCAAAAACAAUAAUAGUCUUACCCACAUGGAGUACUUCUAUCUUGUGCAGUCAGGAAGGAGGAGAAUCAGAAGAUUGUGAUUGGAGAUAUUGAAUUCAAGAGCAUGUCAGCGCAGCUGCAACCCAAAUAUCAGAAAUUAACAUCAAAACUACCUCUUGAUUCCCACUAACAUGAUGACUGGACACAGAAAAGUGGGCUCCAGCUGCCAAUGCCAGUGCAACUGCCUCUUGGCAUCUAUCUACCUACUGACUGGAUACUGAAAUUC
rnacentral:lncRNA from 1 species